GGUGUUCUUAUUGUUUGCGCUGAAGUUUUGGGAGCGACGUGGUCCUACUGACCUUCAUGCUACCCUUGGCGCACAGUAGUGGCUCUGCGUUCCCAAGGGAAACUUCAAGGUCACUUGGGGGCCGAACUGAGGAGAUGGAAAAUUACUGAAGGAUAACAGUGAAAGCAAUGCAAGGAAUGUUCUUCCAGAAACAACAGGGUGCCGUUUUCUGUUUUUAUUGUCAUGGGAUAAAGGCAUCAUCAAAUGGAGAAACAAAGCAAGUUCCACUCAGGGUCGACCCAGACAUUUCAUGGAAGAAUAAAAAUAGAUCCCUCCAUCCUUCCCGUCACUUAAUAUCACACCCCAUGUCACCUGGCCACGUCACGUGGACGGCAGAGGCACCACUGAUAUGGUAAGAGGUUUUGGCAAAUACUUUAUACAAUAGGAAGAAUAAGGAGGCACUUCCCCAUAGCUGCAGUUGCAUCCUGGAUCUCACAGAAACAUGAAGUGCGGGCAGAAGCGG